rnacentral:misc_RNA from 1 species
UACGGGACGCAGCAGUGGAGGUACGGACAAUGGAAAGCCUGAGUCAGCUAUACCCGCGUGUGCGAUGAAGGCCUUCGGGUUGGCAGCACUUUUUGGCAGGAAAAGAAACGGCGCAGGAUAUGCCCGUGCAACUGACGGUACCUGCAAGGAAUAAGCACCGGCUCUUACGUGCCAGCAGCCGCGGUAAUACGUAGGGUGCAAGCGUUAAUCGGAAUUACUGGGCGUAAAGCGUGCGCAGGCGGUUCGGAAGAAAGAUGUGAAAUCCCAGAGCUUAACGCGGAACUGCAUUUUUAACUACGACUAGAGUGUGUCAGAGGGAGGUGGAAUUCCGCGUCAACAACAGUGAAAUGCGUAGAUAUGCGGAGGAACACGAUGGCGAAGGCGCUUCUGGGAUAACACCUGACACGCUCAUGCACGAAAGCGUGGGGAGCAAACAGGAUUAGAUACCCCGGUAGUCCUGUACUACUGAUAGCAGGAGCAAUACGUAACUUCUGUUGUGCUGAUUCCAGUUACGUAUUGCUGUGUUUCCCUAUCCUCCGCUUAUUGAUAUGCUUAGUUCCGGCGGGUAGUCCUACCUGAUUUGGGGUCGAAUUUGGAAGGUUUUGGGUUGUACCAAUGGUGGAAAAACCUAUCAGUAGUUUAUGCCUUUCUUUCAAGCAAGCCAGCGUAUCGCUCAACACCAAGCCCGAGGGUUUGAGGGAGAAAUGACGCUCAAACUAGGCAUGCCCUUUGGAACACAAAGAGAAGGGCGCAAUGCGUUCAAAGAUUCGAUGAUUCACGAAUAUCUGCAAUUCAGUGAAUCAUCGAAGAUCUUUGAGCGCACAUUACCCACGCCUGUGCUCGAAGCAGGCGCUAUGUCCGGCAUCAUUCUUCCCUCGAGCCCCACCCUCGAGGCGGGCCUGGUUCUGCGGGGAUCGGCGGCCCUCGCGCGGCCCCGUCCCUCAAAUUCAGUGGCGGUCGCGCCGCAGCCUCCCCUGCUGUAUUAGCACAACUUCGCACCCGGAGAGCGGAACGACCACGCCGUAAAACACCCAAUUUUGCCAAAAGGUUGACCUCGGAUCAGGUAGGAAUACCGCUGAACUUAAACGCAUAUCAAUAAGCGGAG